UCUUAUUUACUCUCUUUACUACUUUGAUUUAUAUUUAACGGCUUUUUUCCAUCUGAUGAAUAUGGGUUUCAGUUAAAUCUUACCCAUAUAUGUUGUAUGUAUAAAGUGUUUGUUAAAAUGAAGCAAAGAAAACCUAGAAUGAUGAUGUUAUUGUUUGGGUCAUUUUAAUUAAGGGUUUCAUUUUUAGAUUCAUGGAUUUCAUUUGGUCUGAACUUCUAAUUCAAAGAUUCUUAAUUUUUUUGUUGAGGAAUUUUGAGAAUUAGUAACAAAGAAGUUUGAGUUUGAAAAAUUGGGGAAACAAGUUAGGGUUUGAGAUGGCAAUGAUAGCAUAUACUACUGUAGAGUGUGUGAGAGUUGUGUGUGUGCAAGGUCUGUAAAUGUGCCAUGAGCACGUGCCAGUGCAAUAGAGAAUUGAGACGAAUGUGAGAGCUAUAGAAACUCGUCUUUGUGUCUGUAAGAAUCUAUCUUUCUUAUAAUCAUAAUUGAUUCAAAUCGUUGCAAUGUAAACAUCAGUAUUUCUGUGUUACUAUGGUAUCAGACUUAGAAAUCAAUUUUCGAGGGUACCGAUCUUAGCAUGUUUCUUCAUCAAAACCACCAAUACUUCAUCUUCAAUAAUCAUCACCACCAUUAAUCCAUCAUCUUCUGCUCCUGCUACUGUAAAUCGAAAUUCGAAGGUUGAUUUGAUUGAAAUAUCUCAGAUUUGCGACUAAUUUGACGGAUCUAUGUGUUUCUAUCUACAUCAACAACAUCAAUAGAUUAUAUUUAUGUUGUUAUGAGGUUGGAGGUGUUUGCUGGGGUUAAGAUAUGUUUUGGGUUUGGUGCUGAGUGUUUGGUAUCUAGUUUCAACAACAACAACAGCUCUCUCUCAGGACAAAGCUGUUUCUCAUGUUCUUCAAGUGUUACUGCCAAUUUCUGCACCAACUGGUCUUGUUCUGUAUCCCUUAUCUCCUACUGCAUCACACAUUUCUACUGUCCUGCUACAAUCACUGCUGCAACAACUACUACAUCAACUAUUUUUCCACUACCUGCAUACUUCUGAUUUCACAUGCUGCUUGGUAUCAUCUCACAGGUAUACCUACUGCAACAAUUAUAGCUGUCCAUUCUAUUCAAUGACUCCUAAUACAACACCUCCUGCAUCAACUGAACUACCAACUGCAACAACUACUACUGCAUCUUUUGGCCUAUUGUUUUAUGUUGUAUGCUGCUUUGGUCCUUGUCAGAAAUGUGCUUCAUAUUGUCUACUCCAACUGGAGAUUCCACACCACCUGCAAUGGAUAUAUUUUCCUACUAUUCAACUGUGUAUCUAUGUUUGUGCUGGUUUGUGUGAGAGUUGUGUGUGUGCAAGGUGCAAUCUCAAGCUGUUUUCUUCAACCCAUCUUGAGCUUGAGGGAGGGUGAUAGCAUAUACUGCUGUAGAGUGUGUGAGAGUUGUGUGUGUGCAAGGUCUGUAAAUGUGCCAUGAGCACUGCGAGUGCAAUAGAGAAUUGAGACGAAUGUGAGAGCUAUAUAAACUCGUCUCUGUGCCUGUAAGAAUCUAUCUUUCUUAUAAUCAUAAUUGAUUCAAA